rnacentral:rRNA from 1 species
CGGCGUGCUUAACACAUGCAAGUCGAACGAUGAAGCCCUUCGGGGUGGAUUAGUGGCGAACGGGUGAGUAACACGUGGGCAAUCUGCCCUUCACUCUGGGACAAGCCCUGGAAACGGGGUCUAAUACCGGAUACGAGCCUCCAAGGCAUCUUGGGGGUUGGAAAGCUCCGGCGGUGAAGGAUGAGCCCGCGGCCUAUCAGCUUGUUGGUGAGGUAAUGGCUCACCAAGGCGACGACGGGUAGCCGGCCUGAGAGGGCGACCGGCCACACUGGGACUGAGACACGGCCCAGACUCCUACGGGAGGCAGCAGUGGGGAAUAUUGCACAAUGGGCGAAAGCCUGAUGCAGCGACGCCGCGUGAGGGAUGACGGCCUUCGGGUUGUAAACCUCUUUCAGCAGGGAAGAAGCGAAAGUGACGGUACCUGCAGAAGAAGCGCCGGCUAACUACGUGCCAGCAGCCGCGGUAAUACGUAGGGCGCAAGCGUUGUCCGGAAUUAUUGGGCGUAAAGAGCUCGUAGGCGGCUUGUCACGUCGAUUGUGAAAGCCCGAGGCUUAACCUCGGGUCUGCAGUC